AAAGAAAAAAAAAAGGAGAAACCUUCUUUCUCUAAACCCUUUUCUCUUGCUCUCUAAUUUUUCUCUCUAGUGAUCUCCCCAACAAGUAAAGAUUGGAGGAGGUAGCGCUUGCUUGGAGGAGAUGUAAGCUCUUAUACAAAAAAAAGUUUGAGAAAAGUAAAGUUUUUAAUUAAAGAUUGUAGAAAAACGCGUAGUAGCUUCGAUUCGAAGAGUAGCGACAUUUCGGUGGUCGAUUGAGGAAAAUCAAGCUGAAAAUAAAGGAUUUCAUUUGUUAGCGCCGAAAAGUGCCGAAUCGGUGUUGGAAGCUAAAUUGCUUGGAUUUCCCUGCAAUUGGUAUCGAAUCGAGCAAACAAUAUGGCUGGUGAAAGCAUAGGAGAAAAGCAAGAAGCUCUCUUCCACUACCCCGCCCUACCGUGCGUGGCCAUCUACCACAUGCAGAGCCCCUCCACCACUUCCCACGCCAACAGCACCCAACCCCCCUCUGACAACAACUCCGCCUUCCUCUUCCCCUUCCCCCUCCCCGCCGACGACGUCGUCACCACCUUUGUCAGCUACCACCAUCACCGCCACCACAAUGAGACGGCUGGCGCCUCCCACCGCCUCCCGCCACCUCGCCCUUUGCUGCUACUCCUCCUCCCGCGGCUCCAACAACUCCUUCCUCCAUGAGAAGCAGGUGUCUUGAAAACUUAACCGAUAGAAAAUAAUAUUUAUUAAUAUUCUAAUUCUUUCUUUUUUAUAUGUAGUCUUUCAAAGACCAAAAUGCUGAGAAACUUGAUCGUCUUAUGCAUAUUUCAUGUAACGUACCGAAACCUCGGUAAUUAAAUUCGAACCUUGGUCAAAUUGACCAAAGUGCGAGGUUGGUACA